ACGUAGGGUGCAAGCGUUGUCCGGAAUUAUUGGGCGUAAAGAGCUCGUAGGCGGUCUGUCGCGUCGGAUGUGAAAAUCCAGGGCUCAACCCUGGACCUGCAUUCGAUACGGGCAGACUAGAGUUCGGUAGGGGAGACUGGAAUUCCUGGUGUAGCGGUGAAAUGCGUAGAUAUCGAGAGGAACACCUGCGGCGAAGGCGGGUUGCUGGGCUGACACUGACGCUGAGGCGCGAAAGCUAGGGGAGCGAACGGGA
rnacentral:rRNA from 1 species